AGCAGUCGCCGCGGGAAUACGUAGGGUGCAAGCGUUAAUCGGAAUUACUGGGCGUAAAGCGUGCGCAGGCGGUUAUAUAAGACAGAUGUGAAAUCCCCGGGCUCAACCUGGGAACUGCAUUUGUGACUGUAUAGCUAGAGUACGGCAGAGGGGGAUGGAAUUCCGCGUGUAGCAGUGAAAUGCGUAGAUAUGCGGAGGAACACCGAUGGCGAAGGCAAUCCCCUGGGCCUGUACUGACGCUCAUGCACGAAAGCGUGGGGAGCAAACAGGAUUAGAUACCCCUGUAGUCCCUGUCUCUUAUAA
rnacentral:rRNA from 1 species